UCCCCAUCUGUCAAAGAUUACAUGUAAACAUUCAUCCCUCUCAGAGUGUCAUGGAGAUCCACAUUCCCUUUUGUAUAAGCACUGCUGCCUCUUCUUUCCUAACUCCUGAUCCCGGGCAGCAGCCUUGAAGAACAUUUCAAAAGAUAUUCACACUUCAGUGAUUCAUCCUCACAUGAUGGUAAAUACAUACGUGAGAAUAUACUUGCAGAGGGGUUUCCACAAGUCAUCAUGUACUCAGCAUCUGAAUAAUAUUUUAGAGCCAUGAAAGGGAAGCUGAUUUUAAAGAACCACAAUAAUUUCAAACUCAGGGGCUGUAUCCCAGCAAACAGGUCACAUGCCUGCAGUCCUAUGCUGUUUUCCCCAGACAUUUUGGAAUGUCUCAGCUCAAAAUCUUGCUUGGUGUGUUUUCCAUGAUGGUUGUCAGUGGUCUAUUAAUUCUAGCAGCUCCAGGGAAAAUUCUGUGUCUUCCUGCAGCUACACAGCAUGUGAUUUGUUUUCAUCUACAUAAUCCAUCUGUCCCCCAAUCUGAGAGCCCUAGGUGCCAGGGAGCAUGGGCUCAGGGAGCUGCUCUGUAAGGCACAGACAAUAACCUUGCAUAAUUUCUGGCUUUUUUUCUUAGCAUCUGAUUUAAUUAAUGUGAUUCUGUGUAUGAGUCAUGUAAUGGGUGUCUCUUUAAUGUACAUCUUCUCGGCCAUGGCGCCUGUUUCUGAGACGCGAUGGAUAUCAGUAAAUGGAAUUACAGGUGCUUGGUUCAUCCCAGAAUCUCAUCUGAAGUAGUGUGAUAAUUCCUUGCUGUGGCCAGAAACCACAUGAAGUGCCUCUUUGCCUCUGAACAUGGGUGCCAAUCCUCCAAGUUUCUCCAUCCUGAGGACUUCAGCAACAGCUAAACAAGAGGCAACCAUCAGCUCAGACAGGGAGACCUCCAAGGGAAACUGUCCUGCUUGUUGGGAUGCUGUGGGGAGGGGUCCAAGCACACCAGCGCUAACAGAGCCUUCCUGGAUCCAGCCCUCUGUUACCUGUCACAGGAGCACUGGCAGCUUCCAGCAGAUCUGCUCUGGUUCAUAGGUCUGACUCUUCACUCAGAUUUCCCCAUCAGACCUCAAAUACUGGAAAAAACUAUCUUUGUGGUGUGGCCUUUUUAGUGUACACUUUGUCAUAUUUUUCUCCCAAAUAAUCUUGAUUCACUUAAAUGUACAAAGAUCUGUGGUAUCUGAUCCAAAUGGACUAGAGGACCUGACAUGCCCCAUCACCACCACAGCAACAUAUGGCUCUGGGUUAAUUGUGGCAGGCAUUUAAUCAGAUACUUACAGUGUAUGUGUCCAUGGAUCUGUUUGCACAGUGGAAACUCUCCCCAUGCUCCUCAGAGCCUGAUGCUGCUGGAUUUUUUUUUUAAUCUAAACAUUUUCUAUUUUUGGGUGUUUACAUUCAUGUGGGAACAGCUAUAGGGGCACAUAAGGCUGAGGACUAGUAGCAAAACCUGGAAGUGUCCAGCAUGUUGGAUAUUAGGAAAAUAUGCAGAGUUGUCCAGCAAAAUUAUGCCUGUUGGACAAUGUUAAGGCUUUCCCUGCUAAUAUGUAACCCACAGGGGUACUCUGUAAAAAGCAAUCCAGACAAAAAGAAAGAGGAUGUGUUCACUUUUAAGUUGACUGAAACCAUUUUUGCUUCCCUUUACAGUUUUUUUGCAGUUGCUGCUGCUUUAAAACUCUUUCUUUCAACAAGGACAAACCAUGUUUCUUUCCCAAAAAUUGUUUGUCUCCACCACAGUGUGUUUCCACCAUACCUAGAAUUUCACUUUCAUGUUUUGAGAGGAUGGGAAGGACCCCAAGGCCAAGCUCUGCAGCAAAUUAAAUACUAACAUCUCGCCUCUUUUCUCCCAGACUUUCCUCAAGUGUGCACAAUGCUCCCUCACUGAAAGAGUUUUGAAGUCUUUGCUCUGGAGACACUCUGGAAUGGUUCUGGAUGUCAAAAUGACUGUUUUGUGUUGAAAAUUUCAUUGCAGCUCACUCUCCUGCCAGGGAAGGCACUGCUGGUUGGUUCCCAGGUUUGCAUGUCACUGAGGUCUGUGCUAACCUUGUCUCUCCACUACUUCAGUACUGGAGGGAAAUGGAUGCAAGAGGAGACCAAAAGAACUAGCACAGGAGAUAAAUACCAGGCAAUAAUAGUUUGCAAGUGAAAAAGGCCUCUGAGGGAUCACACCAAAAUGGGAGUAGAUCUGCAUGAAGUAAGUAACAAAUAGGAAACACACCUUGCUAUUAAGAAUAAUGAAAAGCAGGUGAAAUUUCAUCUGUGUGUAUGGGUUCUUCUCCUGAUGCCUAUCUCUCCUGGGAAAAAUCAGCCCUUGAAGACAUGUGCCCUGGAGAAUCCCCAGCUCACAGUUUCCUAGCUACAACACCCAGCAAGGGAUUUGGUUUGUAAUCAAGCCUGUAGCUUGCAAGGCUUUAUUAUCCAUAAAUCUUUGAAUUUUUCUUGGUGAGAGGAAAAUGCAUCUCAGGCCCCUCCAGAAUCUCCCUCAUGAUGCUUCAGUCAUGCACAUGAAGUCACAUGGGUCCAUGUCCUGAGCAGGUCACUAGGACAUCAAGAUGUCAAUCUGCUAAUGGACUGAUUAUCUCAUGUUCUCAUGCUCAUAAGCAACACAGCAUCUUAUGCACAGCAGCAGGGCCACCUCCCUUCCUCACUUCCCGUGUCCACCAGCUUGCAACACACCAGCAUAUCAGCUAACUGGGCUGAUUUUGGGGUAAUUGUUCUGUCUGGUUGGGGAGAGGGUGCACUCCUGACAGCAGGAGAAUUUGAGGAGCAAAGAGACAAUUUUGUGGGUCACAAAAUCACUGCAAGAGAGAAGACUGGCCUAUUUCCAGAGGUGAAGAGGAAAAGUUAUUUUGAAAGGACAGGCUGGAGUCAGAAGAAGUGUUUGCAGCUCAGUGUCCUCUUCAAUGUAUUGUGUAGGUUUAGGGUAUAUCUGCACAGCUCCAUGACAGACGGUUCACAUCACACAUAUGGGACUCUAAUUCCAGACGCAUCUCCAGAGUAAGCCAACAGGUUCCCUCCAAGGUGAAAUGCACCCCAAGGGUUGGCUGGACUCAUCCAUUUCCCUUGGAAGACCUGCCCCUGGGCAGUAUCACCUCGUGGUGGCAAACCUAGCAGAGCCCUGUAGCAUGCAUCAGGAUCUUGUUUUCCCCUCGUGGAGGGCAGAACACCCCCAAGUCUCCCCUUCCCACUUCUCCCAUGGUUCCAGGUCACAAGUCACCUCUGCUCUGCUCUAGCCUUUCCUUGGAGGAAUGCCAAGGGAGUCCUGAAGGGCACAGCAUUGGCAGGAGGAGAUGAGUGGGACCUGGCUGCAUCCCCUACCCAUUCCCACUGCGGUACAUUUCAGCACUAGAAGGGAAAGGAGUGGAACCCCCAGGCCCUGGGCAGGGAAGGGGAUAGAAGAGAACACAGGACUGCUGUAGCAGUAGCUCUCAACUAAUAAUACUUCUGGGUUUAGACAUUUUAUAUGCUUUGGAUUGCGACAUUUAUCACAGUGUUGUUACAAACCCCAUCACCAAGGCCAAAAGCAUUGCAGCAGCUUGAGAUCACUGUGUGUGUUACUCUUGCUUUUUUUCAUUUUUAGGAUGGUUGUGCUAUUGUCUUUAGGUCAACCUGCCCAAAUUCAAGUUUCACUGCUGCACCACAUGCCUGCUGGACUUCAGCCAAUGCCACGAGACAUGACCAGUGCCUGUCUUUGUGCUUUGAUUUUAGGAACUCUCUUUACCAGAGGGAAAACAAAUGCUUUCCAUCCAGACUAAUCAGGGAAGAAGUUUCACCCAGGGGAUGCAUCUGUUUAAAGAUAGUUUAAAUGUAAUCAAAUUGGUCAAGUUUGAGGACCAGCAGAGCUCUGCCAUGAGGGACAAAGCAAAGGGACUGAAUAAAAAUAAUAAAAUCUGUGCUCACACGAGAUUCUGGGGACUGUAUUGUGCACUUUGCCAUGAACUGAAAUACCCGGAGGAUAAAACAGCAGCUGAGAUUAAAACAAAGCUGGCAUCAGUCCAAGGUGCCAGUAAAUCACGUGGGAUUAUUACUUCACUAGAGAUUUUACUGGUGUGCAAAGAAAAGAAAGUAGAAACCGAUUUCUGCUAAACGAUGGAGUUAAGAGGAAUCUCCAGCAAAACUAAGCCUUCAUCCUGCAAAAUCUCUACACAGUUCUUAACUGUGAAAUUAACAAUGUAUGAAGCUCUAAAUCCACUGUUUCCAAACAGGAUUGGGGGCUGACAAGGGCUGCACCAUUCCAUAAGGGAUUAUUUUUCUCCAUGAGGUUUGUAAAACGACAUACAAAGGACAGGAAAUAAUCAAAUGUGAAUAGACUUCUUAUCUACAAAAUUUCCUUUUGUGUUUAUACAGACGUUGAAUGUGAACACAAAGGAGAGCAAGCAUUUGGCCUGUUAGAGGAGAAAGGCAGAAGAGGCGAGGAGUAAGGAACACAUGGAAGCAAAUGAACUAUUUCAAACUAGGAAUUCUUAGGAAGAAAAUAGAAAACAACACAAAAAGCAUCAUUACAUUGCCAAAAGAAUUCACAAUGGACCCACACCUUCAACACUGUCGUCUCUUCAAACCACUCUGUCACAACAAGGGUAUGGAAGAGUCAAAGAAAAGAAGCAGAAGAGAUCAAAGGAAUGGCACCUCUAUUAGGAAUGAAUACACCAUCCACGUGUCUUCAAAGUAGAAGUGAAACAGCUUUGGGGUGGGGGUGGUCUACAAAGUCUGAGUGACAAUAAGAAAUUAAGCAUGGAGUGUUAUUCACCAUUCCACAUAAUUCAGAAAUCAUACCUAUAAAAUGAACUUGUUUUGUUCAACACUGUUCAAUUCCCAGCAGUCAAAAGGAUGCACUUUCCACAGAGUACACAGCCAAACAGUGGAACUCAUGCUACAGAGUACUUUGGAUGCUGAAUGAUGAGUUCUCUCCAUGAGUCUGUAGCAGAUAAAAACUUUGACAGCUGAAAUAGCUGUUACUUCAACUUCUUGAUGAAGAGCUUCUCUGGGCUGCUGAGACGUGGGAGGUGCAAUGUGUGUCCUAUUCUUACACUCUUCCUUAAACACUGACUUCUAUGAGCUAGUUGAAUCUUUAAUGAGAGCCAAUAGACUUACUAGCAUGUUUCAAUGGUGUAAAUAAAUUUUUACUGUUGCUAUCCUUAUUAUAAUGGAAAUGACAAAACAACACCUUACAUCAUUAGAAUUAUUUAUUUUUAAAAACAUGCUGCUUUCACUAAUAUAAAAAAAACCUCAAAGGCCUCUUUGCCUGGAACUGAAAAAUAAUAUGGAGCCAGGAACAACUGGUAUUACAGCCAAGACCUUGAAUCAGUAGUACAGUUAUUUUUCUCCAUCUUUUCAGAUUAUUCCUUAAUUAUUUUUUUUUAUUUUAAAUUUGUAAGCUGCAAUGUUUUCCUUUUUUUGACCUGUAGCCCCCACCUGAUACCAAUUUUCCUAUUAAAAAGGAAAAUCAACACAGA